AGUGGGAAAUAACACCUCUGAGUGAAGACGGAAAAAGAGGUCCUGAUUAUUAGGUGAAUUUGUAGCUGUCCCUCAGACCUUCUCUGGAUGACGCAACACAACCAACUCUGAUGUCAACCCUGAGAAUUUUGCUGCCUGCUUCCAGCUUUGGGAGAUGCAGUUGGGUGGUCAACUCGACGGCCCUGCCGCCCCCCGACUUCUGGCUGGUUCCGGCCACUUUGGGAACCCGGCAGUUGGAUUCUCUAUUUCCCUGGCUCACUCCCUGCUUUGACUGAAGGUCACGGUGCCUCUUCUGAAUCCAGCUCGAACAUUAUUACCAAGAGACUUGUGAGAUGCAUGGCCACCCUGAAAGAAGAUGCUGGCUUUGCUCAAAGUGAUAAAUUGAAAUCCUGGUAUUUCAGAAAACUUAUGGCCACUGCGUAUAGCCAGGGGACCUGGAGACAGAGCGAACUGCAGAUACACCAACUGCCUGAGAGCAGAUGAUAAGGGGGAAAUCAGAAGACAUUUUCUGGGUGGCUCAGUCAGGCUCCACAGAAGAAUGGCUAUUUGCUGCCAGUCAUCUCAGUCUCACGGAGGACACUGGUCUCUGGCACACUGGCUGACAGUUUCAUAUCCACAGGGCAGGGUCUGGACCAAUAAUAUCUCUGCUAACCUCUGGACUGCAGUGUGGUUCGUUACCAGUAUUUUGCUUGAGUGUUUCCUUUCCCCCUAGUUAUUGAGUCUGUGCUGCUUCCUCCUUGGCACAUGUUGGUUUUUAGAGAUGAUGUUGUUGAGUGACACGUAA
rnacentral:lncRNA from 12 species